CUUGCGUUCAGAUUCUUUCAUGAUGCCCUCUAAUUUUUCCCUAGCAAAAUUUGCCUCCAUCGCCAACUUAUCCCGUUCAGACCUUAUUGCA
rnacentral:sRNA from 1 species